CGGGACCGCUCCUUCACCCCUCGCUUACCUUUUCCCCUCGCCUCGGCAAAGGAGAAGCGAACCUGCAGCGGGAAGGACGAGGCUCCUGCGGCUCAGCCCUCACCUGCGCAGGGAGGGAUAACUGUGCUCCUUCUGGAACUGCUGCUUGUCUGUUUUUACAUUCCCCCUCCACCCAAGCUGCCACCUGCCCUGCCGUGGGUGAGUGCCGGGAUGCAGCCCCCGUGCCCGGGAGCAGACCCAGCUCUGCCCUCGGCGCUGCCGCAGCCGAUGCUCUCCCACAUCCAUCCCCUCGCCCCCUGGAACCAGCACUUGUCCCUCACUGCUGCUGUCACUGCCCUCUCUUUCUCCAUUGCAUGUGCUCUACUGUCUUCACAAGACCCAGGCAGACCAUAAGGAAGGUGAGUAAAGUACAGCUGGGGCCCAUAAAAGUUAUCCAGUUCACUGUUGCAGUGACUUUCAGCAAGUAAAUCACAUUCCAGCAACAAUUAUCCUUGUUUACCAGCAAAACCUUACCUGCUGUUGUC